rnacentral:rRNA from 1 species
UAGGGUAUCUUCCGCAAUGGACGAAAGUCUGACGGAGCAACGCCGCGUGAGUGAAGAAGGAUUUCGGUUCGUAAAACUCUGUUGUUAGGGAAGAAAAAAUGUAUAGUAACUAUAUACAAAAGAGACGGUACCUAACCAGAAAGCCACGGCUAACUACGUGCCAGCAGCCGCGGUAAUACGUAGGUGGCAAGCGUUGUCCGGAAUUAUUGGGCGUAAAGCGCGCGCAGGUGGUUUAGAAAGUCUGAUGUGAAAGCCCACGGCUCAACCGUGGAGGGUCAUUGGAAACUAAUAAACUUGAGUGCAGGAGAGAAAAGUGGAAUUCCUAGUGUAGCGGUGAAAUGCGUAGAGAUUAGGAGGAACACCGGUGGCGAAAGCGGCUUUUUGGCCUGCAACUGACACUGAGGCGCGAAAGCGUGGGGAGCAAACAGG